GGUGAACCUGCGGAGGGAUCAUUG
rnacentral:rRNA from 1 species